AAUCUGGCGGUCUCCGGCCGUCCGAGUUGUAAUUUAGAGAAGCGUUAUCCGUGCUGGACCGUGUAUAAGUCUCCUGGAAUGGAGCGUCAUAGAGGGUGAGAAUCCCGUCUUUGACACGGACUACCAGUGCAUUGUGAUGCGCUCUCGACGAGUCGAGUUGUUUGGGAAUGCAGCUCAAAAUGGGUGGUAAAUGCCAUCUAAAGCUAAAUAUUGGCGAGAGACCGAUAGCGAACAAGUACCGUGAGGGAAAGAUGAAAAGAACUUUGGAAAGAGAGUUAAACAGUACGUGAAAUUGUCGAAAGGGAAACGGUUGCAGUCAGUCGCGUCCGCCGGGGAUCAACCUUGCUUUUGCUUGGCGUAUUUCCCGGUGGAUGGGUCAGCAUCAGUUUUGACUGCAGUUGAAAGGCUGGAGGAAUGUGGCACCUUCGGGUGUGUUAUAGCCUCCUGUCAUAUGCUGCGGUUGGGACUGAGGAACUCAGC
rnacentral:rRNA from 1 species